rnacentral:piRNA from 1 species
UAAAAGUACAAAUGACCUCUCAUAAGG